rnacentral:lncRNA from 1 species
UGAUUAUUACAACGAGCGCGGUGCCGAAGAUGAAACCCGGAUUCGAUCCCUCCAAGGGUGCUCCCCCGGAGUUUUACUUCGAAGAGAACGGAUACCCCGAACAAGUCGAUUGGAUUGGACAGAAGAAUCAGAUCGAUGCUGCUAAGGCUGCAGGGUGCAAGCACAUCGUCUUGGUUGGAUCCAUGGGAGGCCAGAACCCUAACCACAUGCUGAAUUCUCUCGGAAACGGGAAGAUUCUCAUCUGGAAGAGGAAGGCGGAGGAGUACCUGUCCCAAUCCGGCGUCCCUUACACGAUCAUCCGAGCUGGUGGAUUGCAAGACAAGGACGGCGGCAUCCGCGAACUCAUCGUCUCCAAAGACGACGAGCUCAUGAACACCGACACAAAAUC